rnacentral:rRNA from 1 species
UUUGAUCAUGGCUCAGGACGAACGCUGGCGGCGUGCCUAACACAUGCAAGUCGAACGAGAAUCUUUGAACAGAUCUUUUCGGAGUGACGUUCAAAGAGGAAAGUGGCGGACGGGCGAGUAACGCGUGAGUAACCUGCCCAUAAGAGGGGGAUAAUCCAUGGAAACGUGGACUAAUACCGCAUAUUGUAGUUAAGUUGCAUGACUUGAUUAUGAAAGAUUUAUCGCUUAUGGAUGGACUCGCGUCAGAUUAGAUAGUUGGUGAGGUAACGGCUCACCAAGUCAACGAUCUGUAGCCGAACUGAGAGGUUGAUCGGCCGCAUUGGGACUGAGACACGGCCCAGACUCCUACGGGAGGCAGCAGUGGGGAAUACUGCGCAAUGGGGGCAACCCUGACGCAGCAACGCCGCGUGCAGGAAGAAGGUCUUCGGAUUGUAAACUGUUGUCGCAAGGGAAGAAGACAGUGACGGUACCUUGUGAGAAAGUCACGGCUAACUACGUGCCAGCAGCCGCGGUAAUACGUAGGUGACAAGCGUUGUCCGGAUUUACUGGGUGUAAAGGGCGCGUAGGCGGACUGUCAAGUCAGUCGUGAAAUACCGGGGCUUAACCCCGGGGCUGCGAUUGAAACUGACAGCCUUGAGUAUCGGAGAGGAAAGCGGAAUUCCUAGUGUAGCGGUGAAAUGCGUAGAUAUUAGGAGGAACACCAGUGGCGAAGGCGGCUUUCUGGACGACAACUGACGCUGAGGCGCGAAAGUGUGGGGAGCAAACAGGAUUAGAUACCCUGGUAGUCCACACCGUAAACGAUGGAUACUAGGUGUAGGAGGUAUCGACCCCUUCUGUGCCGCAGUUAACACAAUAAGUAUCCCACCUGGGGAGUAUGACCGCAA